rnacentral:lncRNA from 1 species
GGGAUAUUUGAAUACUAAGCGAAACAACCUAUAACGCUAUAAAUGCAUAUCAAAGAAAUAUUGUUUUUUUAUGGCGAAUAUGGAUUUCUAUCUUGUUAUUUACUUUAUAUAUUACCGAUAAAGAUAUGGACGUUUAGGAUGUGAAAAAAUAUACACUAUAUCGGCGCAAAUUUGUGGUAUCUAAUAAGGGUUUCACUGAGGAAGAAAGACAACUUCAACAGAAUAUUCGCAAAUUACAAAACCAACUCGAAGCUAAAGAACAGGAACAUCGUCAAAGGGAAUGGAGACUUGUGGACAAACUGUAGGAAAAUGAUGUCACAAUACAGACGCUAAAUCAAUCAAUCGCAAACUUAAAGAGCAAGAUGGACUAACAGAACCAGGAAUAUUCCAGAUUAACUGUAGCAAAGGAUGUUGAACUGGAAACGUUGCAUCAACAGGAUGCCAAUAUGAGAUCUGAACUCGCGCGGAGAAAAAAUAAUUUUGAGAGGAGGCAGAAAGAGUUGUCUUUAUCUUUGGAAAGAGAGUCGUCGUUGGAACGUUCUAGGGCUGAGCUAGAGUUAGAUUGGCAGCGCAGAUAUGAAUAGGAAGAAAGAACUGGGUACAUAUGAUAAACAAGGAGAACUAGUUAAGAAUUUAACACAAGGCAAAGAAGAGGCGUUAUCGUUGGUGUAACAACAGAAACGUGAACUGCUUCACAAGGAUAGUGUUAUCCAUAUUUUGAAGACACAAAGAGAUGAAUCAGUUUCUAUCCUCAAGCUUCAUGGACUAACCGUGCCUUCCCAAAUAUCAGAUUUUAUCAGUCAUGCAUGUUUCACCAGUCGAAGAUGUUGGCACACCAGCAGCGAAUAUGAAUAAUAAAGAACUUCCAGUUCAGAACGAAAAUUUGCGUCUGUUAUUCAUCAAAUGAGAGAGGACAUGGAGGAUUUGAGAAGCUUGUAAAACACUCGGGAAGCUUGUAAAACACUCGAGAAGCUUGUAAAACACUCGGCUACGCCUCGUGUUUUA